rnacentral:rRNA from 1 species
GACGAACCGUGCGAACGUUAUUCGGAAUCACUGGGCUUAAAGCGCGUGUAGGCGGCCCGGCACGUCAUUGGCUGAAAUCCCCCGGCUCAACCGGGGAAGGGGCCGUGAUACGACCGGGCUGGAGGGGGGUAGGGGGGACGGGAACUCACGGUGGAGCGGUGAAAUGCGUUGAGAUCGUGAGGAACGCCCGCGGCGAAAGCGCGUCCCUGGACCCCACCUGACGCUGAGACGCGAAAGCCAGGGGAGCGAACGGG